CAGACCUACGGGAGGCAGCAGUAGGGAAUCUUCCACAAUGGACGAAAGUCUGAUGGAGCAACGCCGCGUGAGUGAAGAAGGGUUUCGGCUCGUAAAGCUCUGUUGGGAGUGAAGAAAGAUAGUGGUAGUAACUGGCCUCUAUUUGACGGUAAUUACUUAGAAAGUCACGGCUAACUACGUGCCAGCAGCCGCGGGAAUACGGAGGUGGCAAGGGGUGUCCGGAUUUAUUGGGCGUAAA
rnacentral:rRNA from 1 species